rnacentral:rRNA from 1 species
GAUGAACGCUGGCGGCGUGCCUAAUACAUGCAAGUCGAGCGAACAGAUGAGGAGCUUGCUCCUCUGACGUUAGCGGCGGACGGGUGAGUAACACGUGGAUAACCUACCUAUUAGACUGGGAUAACUUCGGGAAACCGGAGCUAAUACCGGAUAAUAUAUUGAACCGCAUGGUUCAAUAGUGAAAGACGGUUUUGCUGUCACUUAUAGAUGGAUCCGCGCCGCAUUAGCUAGUUGGUAAGGUAACGGCUUACCAAGGCAACGAUGCGUAGCCGACCUGAGAGGGUGAUCGGCCACACUGGAACUGAGACACGGUCCAGACUCCUACGGGAGGCAGCAAUAGGGAAUCUUCCGCAAUGGGCGAAAGCCCGACGGAGCAACGCCGCGUGAGUGAUGAAGGUCUUCGGAUCGUAAAACUCUGUUAUUAGGGAAGAACAAAUGUGUAAGUAACUAUGCACGUCUUGACGGUACCUAAUCAGAAAGCCACGGCUAACUACGUG